GCAACCAUAUGAACUUGCUGAGGAAAGAGAAAUUCACAGCAGGCAGCGUGCAGUGGGCUGGCUCCCAUGCACUCACAGGGUUCCAGGAAACUGAGACAAGAGUACCAAAAUGAGGAUGGUGCCAAAGAGAGACAUGCACUUUUCCUAAGAUGACCCUUUCCCCAGAGCAGGAUGUACUGCACUGGCAACAAUACAGGAAGGAAAGCAGCAUGACAAGGGCCAUGGACCACACAAUCCUACUCUCUGAUCCUGUGAAUGUGACUAUUUAGUGCUAUUGAGAGGUUCCAAACUCAGAAUGGGGAAAGAGGAUGUGAUUUGAUUUCCUAAAAGCCCCAAGCAGUGAUUGACCAAAAACUUCCUCCUGACUAGAAUGUCUGCUCAUUGCCACAGCAGUGCUCCAACAGAAUGUUUUGGCAACAGUCCCGACUAUGGUCAGCAACUCCUUAAGCAGCUGGGAUUUCUUAAAACAAGUGAGUAGCAUUUGCCUUGCAGUGCUCCAGCAACAAAACAAGCAAAGCUUCCAUGGGAAUCAGAUAUUUACAGAGCAUUCUCUCUCUUGCCCCUGCUCUUCCUUCAUGUAACCAAGGAGGUCAGAGCCACUCAUGCACAUUUUGGCAAUUACAGUGCUCACAGUGGAGCUUAUAUACAGAUACAAUCCUAAACACUAGGCCCUGCCACACAUCACAGGGAACUUCUUGAUUACACUGAUUGUUGGAUGAAUAACCUGAAUGUGUCAAGUUGAAGGACUUGUGACAGAUCAAAACUGUAUCCCCUGUAGCAGACACUUGUCACC